CGCGGCCUCCCAAAGUACUGGGAUUACAGGCGUGAGCCACCGCGCCAGCCAAUCUUGUGCCUAUCUUUAAAUUAAAAACAAAAUUUACAAAUUACAAAACAAAAAUAAGUAAAUAGUUGACCUGGCUCAUCGAAAGAUAUGGCUCUCCUUUCUCAAAAACAAAACAAAAAAAGGGAAAAAAUGUCCUUCAAGUAUGAGAUACAUACCUGUAUAUAGACAGAGAGAGAGAGAGUAAAUGAGUCAAUAACUUCGGAUGAAUCAAAGGAGUAGAAAAGUAUAAAAGAAAUGGGAGAAUUGUAGGGUCCACAAGACAGCAGGCACGGGGUGACUCCGGGGCUCUGCUGGCUCCUCUAUGGGUUUACCACUGCCCACGGGUGGAUCAGGCCCUGGCCUGAAAGGAACCCUCGCAAGGGCAGAUAUUUACCGCCUCCUCCCUAUCGUUGGAAACAAGUGCUCAUUGUAGCCCAAAGAAACUCACGCUUAGACAGAAAAUUCCUCAGCAAGACACCUUUACUUCUGCAGAAGAGUGCUGCUUGCACCUGUUACAAUCGCAAGAGCACAACGAACAAAAGCGGGAAGGAGUUUUUAAUACUAACGCAGUUCCUGUUUCUAUGUUCUUCCCCUGUUGGCUGGGGUUGGACUGCACAAUCUAAGCUGAUCCUGACUGGCUAAAACUUAAACUUUUCCAAAUAGGGUAAACCCACCAUUUGUGAAAAGAAGAGGUGGGGCGGGGGGGAGCGGGGGGUAGGAUUGAUUUACAACUUUUACAACUUAUGACCAGAAAGUUGAGUCUUUGAAGAGCAACUUAGUUGUCCCAACCAUUUCCCCUCUUCUGUUUUAUAGUUCUUCCUCUUCAAAUUUCUUCAACAGGAUUUGUUUUUUUUUUUUUUGUUCUUCUUGAUUAUCUAAGAGCAAGAGCUUAUCUGAAUACAGAGGGGGAAAGGUGAGGGAGGUUUUUGUAAGAGCUGCUUCUAUGAGCCUUUGGGUUAACCCACGAAUACAAGGUAUGAUACAGCAGCUCACAAGGAUGAGUACAUCUGUAACAAUCGCAAGGAAGGUAAAGACUGAGGUCAUGAGUCCUUUCCAUUUUCCAAACCACCUUUCCAUCAGGCCCAUAAAGGGGUCGUCUAUUCCAGAGUUUUCCGCUAAUUCACUUGCUAGGGUGGUAAGGCCUUGCAAGGCUUUUGUGAUUGUCCCGUCAGGGGCUGUAUUAUUAGGAAUAAAAAAGUACAACACUGGACCCCGAUCAUGACACAAAGUCUGCCCUUUUCAGCUAACAUCAUGUCAAGGGCUAUUCUAGUUUCCCAGGCCAUCUGGCUCGUUGGGUCUAACUGUUCAGCUAUUCCUUUUAUGGCAUCUCUGGUAUAAUUGACAAAUUGCUCCUGAUUGUAGUAUAUAUAAUUUAUCCAGUCUACAUUUUUGUUAAUAGUGGACCACCAGAAUAAGAUAGGCUCGAACCCGGUGGCUAUUUGGUUUCAAGCUUUGAAUUCAUUUGGUACCCCCUGCGGGACCCCGAUACUGUCUAUGUAAUGUGCAGGUCAAAGGACCCGUGAAAGGCUUCUCUUUUUCUUCAGGUUACUUGCUUCCUGUCUGGUUGAUGAAAUGCCAAGGUGAAAGGGAUGGCUAAUUGGAUCAGAGCGCAAGUGCUGCUCCAGUUGCUUGGCAGUGUACCCAAUGUUGGUCCCCCACAAUACUGCUCAGGGAUAGACUAGGUCCCACACAUCUGCUUGGGGAUAGACUAGGGCUGACUGAGUGGUUAGCUCUUAAAAAAGUUUAGGCCCACUACAUCCCGUCAGGUUUCCAAGGUAUGUCAAAUGUUUCCCUUGCUGUGAGAGACACAAGGUAAAAUUGGCAUCGAGAGCUGGAGAUUAAAUGUCCCUUGGGGGCAGUUCCAUAGGGCUCUUUACCUUUGGGAAAAGUAGUGAAAGAGUGGUGCAUGACUUGUUUCCCCAGGCUGUGGGAUGCUGGAAGAGGCCUACCAUAAAAUCCAUGCCAAGUUGGUUGGCCCAUCCAUGUGGGAAAGGAACAAUUUGGGUUUGUUGGCCUGCCCAUUGCACAAGCGUAACCAUUGCUUUUAUUUAGAGUGCGAACAGAAUAUUUAAUCCGUUCCAGCCAGGCAUUUAUAUCUUGAUACCUGGUUUCUAUGGUUAGGGUUUGCUUCAAGUCCUUGACAUCUACUAUAGCUACUUGGUUUUGUCAUUCGGCAUGAAGCGAGAAAUGGUUUAAUUGUGUGGGAGGGGGUAAUGGUACAAGAUGGAGAAGGAGGAACCAAGCACAUUUCAAAGAAGCCUAUAGGGUCCUUUCCAGUGAUAUCUGCUCCUAGGCCAUAAAAGCGCUCUAAAGUGGGUGCAGGGUUAGUGGAGGUAGGGGUAUUAAUAGAGAUAAGUACUGGGUUGCAAUGGUGAGAUUGGCAAUUAGAGGGGGUGGUUCCUUUGGUGAAGUGGAGGUAGGGUUUUAGGGCGGUGCAACCCUCUGAGGAGGUCCAGCCCUGAUACUUGGUAGUCCAUAUAACAUCUCCCCAAGUAUAGCAAAACCACUAAUGCCAGAUUCAUGCCCGUUCAGUGCAAGAGUCAGUUUUGUAGGCAGUACAGUCUAUCUUAGAGGGACAAAGUUACUUUUCUGAAGAGGCUAGCUGUCUUUCACUUUGGACAUCCCUGCAGGGCAUGACAAGACAGGCAUCAAAUGUAAUUGUUUUGGGGGAGGGUGACUGGGUUAUACUGAUGAUAAGAUAUCCUUGGGUAGCUAAAGAAAGAAGAAAAAGACAGAUUAAACCCUUUUGAAUGUUAGUUUGGGGGCUGUCGACAGUCCAUGACUUUGCAAGGGAUGGGGCCUUUUUCACUCAAGUGUGGUGGGUCCAUCCUUUUUCGGCCAUUCAGAUUGCUGUUUCGGUGGUUAGGAGUACUAGAUAAGGUCCCUCCCAUGUUGGUUCGAGCUUUCCCUCUUUCCAACUUUUGAUGAGGCUGGUGUUGGUUAACUGGGAAUUCGAGGGCAAUGUAAGACAAUGGGAAGGCAUUUUGUCCAUGGUAACCAGGUUUCAAAGAUUAAUUUGGUUAGGAGAUUUUUUUAGAGUUUGAUUCAUUCUUUCUACCCUCCCUGAUGAGGGCGGGUGCCAGGGAGUAUGAUAUUCCCAUUUUAUUCCUAGUACUUGGGUUAGCCCCUUAAUGAUGUGUGCAAUGAAGUGGGUCCCAUUUUCCAGAUGAACGUUCUCUGUUAGUCCAAACCUGCAUAUGAUAUGUUCCAAAAGGGCUUUGACUGCAUUACUAGCUGUUGUGCUUGGGAAGGGGAUGGCCUCUCUCCAGUGGGUGAGAUGGUCUACUAUUACUACUAAAUACUUAAGACGGCCUAUUGGGGGCGUUUCAGUGUAGUCAACUUGGAUGCUUUGGAACGGCCUCAACCCUGGGUUUCUUCCCCCGGGAGGUUGCCUCUUUAGGGUUUGCUUAUUAGUUUUUCUGCACCAUCCGCCACUUGCCUAGUGAAGGUAUAUAUCCCUACACACCCAUAGACUCUAAGGACUGCAUCGCACAUAGCUUGAGGACCCCAGUGAGUUCCUUGGUGAAGCUGUGACAAUAUUUCCCUCAUGAGGGGUUUAGACAGCAUUUCCCUUCCAUCUGUCCACACCCACUUCCCCUCUGGGCUUUCCUUAGCUCCUAUUUUCUUGAGUUUCUCUUGGUCUGUGUGGGAGAAGAUGGAGAUCACAGCUGGAGGGGGAAGACAAGGGGUUAGAUGGAAAAUGGGUGCCUCUUGGGAAUAGGCAGCUUGCUAGCUUGCUUAGCUACUUAAUCUGUGAGGUUAUUUCCCGGCUUUCAAAAGAUGGGUUAUUUUGGUGUCCUGGGACAUGGACAACUGCAAUCUCUUCCGGCAGCUGAAGAUUUUCUAGCACUUGCAUAAUUAAUUCCUUGUGGGCCAAAUCUUGGCCCUUACUAUUGAUGAGGCCUCGUUCAGUCCAGAUCUUUUCCGAAGGCAUACUUGGAGUAAGUGUAAAUAGUUCCUUCCUGAUUCUGCAGGGAUUUUAAGGCUUGGUUUAAUGCAAAGAGUUCACAUAUUUGGGCAGACCACUUAUUUGGCAGUCUUUCUGACUCUACCACUGUGAGGGUUUCCCUAUCAACUAUGGAGUACCCGUUGUGCCUUUUUCCUUCAAUGACCUGGGAGGAGCCGUCUAUAAAGAGGUGAUGCCCUGUUUGGAAGGGGGUUUCAUGCCUGGAUGCGGUCUGACUCUAGUUUGAAAACUGAUUAGAUCUAAGCAGUUAUGCUCACAUUCCUCCUGGUUUGGAUUUCCUGUUAGGAAAGCAGCGGGGUUGAGUGAAUUGUCAGUGGUUAGUGUUAGGUUAUCUCCCUCUAAUAAGAUAGCUUCAUAUUUUAAAAUCCUUGAGUCAGUGAGCCAUCUCCCUGCCUUCUGAUUAAGAAUGGUUCUGACUUGAUGAGGGGCACUUACGAAGAGGUUUCCCCCAAAGGUUAUUUUCCUGCUUUCUUCUGUUAGCAAGGCAGUUGCUGCUAUGGAUUGAACACAUUCGGGCCAUCCACGGGUUACUGGGUCAAGGAUUUUUGACAGAAAGACUACAGGCUGCCGGUGGCCUCCAUGUUUUUGGGUGAGUACCCCUAAGGCCACUCCUUUGCUUACAUUAAUGAAAAGAUGGAAUGGCUGUUCUAAGGAGGGCAAAGUUAGAACAGGGGCAGUUACAAGUAGGUGUUUUAAUUCUUUUACCGUUGGAUCUCUGAUGGGGUCCAAAGGAGGGGGUCUGGUCCUUCUUGAGUGAGUUUUUGAUAUAGGGGCUUUGUUUUUAAGGCAUAAGAGUCAGUCCACAGAUGACAAUAUCCAACCAAUCCUAAUAAUUUCCUAAGUUCCUGCUUUGUUUCAGGUAAAGGCAAAGACAGGAUACCUUCAAUUCGUUCGGAUCCUAUCUUUCGUUCACCUUUACUGAUUAGGUGUCCUAGAUAUUUUACCUCAGAUUCUAUGAAUUGGAUGUUGUUCUUUGAGACCCGUAAUCCUUGUCCCCUUAGGAAAUUUAGGAAGUUAACUGAAAUUGCUGUUACUUGAUCCUUGUUAUCUCCUGAAAUGAGCAGGACAUCUACGUAUUUGAGUAGGCAUAUGGAUGAAGGCAGGGAGAAGUUUUCUAGGACUUGCUCUAAAAUAUGACCAAAUAGAUUUGGGGACUCUGUAAACCUUGGGGCAAGACUGUCCAUCGACCGGAGUGAGGGUCCUCUCACUCAAAGGCAAAUUUGUCCCAGCUGUCCUCUGCUAAAGGGCAAGCCCAAAAGGCAUCAUUUAAAUCUGUCACCGUGAACCAUUGGUGGUUAUGCGGGAUUCUACUGAAAAUGGUGUAAGGAUUGGGAACAACAGGGUGGAUGGUCUGAACUAUUUGGUAAAUAGCCCAGAGGUCUUGCACUAGCUGGUAUGACCCGUCUGACUUCCUUACAGGCAAUAUUGGAGUGUUAUAAGGGGACAUACAGGGUUCAAGUCUUUCAAUUACAGGUUUUAAAACUAUCCUGGUUUUAAACCUAUCCUGGCUUCCAAGGGAAUAGGGUAUUGUUUUCGUGGACAAGGCUUUCAAUUAUAGGUUAUAAACCUAUCCUGGCUUCCAAGGGAAUAGGGUAUUGUUUUUGUUUCACUAUUUCCCCAGGAGUUUUUAAUUUGACAUGGAUUGGAGGAACCCAUCCUCGAUUCCCUUCUUUCGACCAUACGUUGGGAUGGAUGCGGCUUUCUUCUGAAGUGGUGAGUACGUUUAAGGAAGUAAGGAGUUUUCCUUGAUUAACAUAUAGGCCUGUGCCUAACCUUAACAUUAAGUCCCUUCCUAAUAAAUUAGUUCCUGCUUCAGGAAUUAAGAAGAACUUAGUAGCAACCGACUUAUUCUUAUAUUUGACUUCGGUUUCCUCUAGAAUUUUUGCUCUGAAUCCUUCCCCUUUAACUCCUGAGACAGUAAGGUCUUCGGCUGAACAGGAUAAAUCUGAUGGGAGAAAACAUAGGCAGGAGCCAGCUGCUCCCGAAUUGACCAGGAAAGUGACUAUUUCCAAUUUGGGUCCCACCGUUAAAUUUAUCAAGGGCUCUUGGUGGGACUCAAGAUGGAAGACGUAGAGCCCCUGAGCCCACUGUUCUUCAAAUGUCAUGAGUGAAAGGACUUUCUUUUCCCUCUCCCAUUCGGGACAUUUCCUCUUAAAAUGUCCUGGCUUUCCACAUCUGAAACAUCUGUUUUUCCUUCUCCCCCUCCUGGUUCCCUGAUUCUCAGGUUUCGUCCCUUUGCUUCCUGUAUAGGGUCUGGCAGCCUGGUACUCAGAAGGUUUACAAGUUCUAUUUCCCUGGGAUGCCUGUUGAAAAGUUCCCUGUUGUAGGGUGGACAGCAUAAUUUUUGCCUUUUGCUUCUGCCUUUCCUCAUCCCUCCGUACAUAUACCUUUUGGACCUCUCUUUAAAGUUCCUCUAUGGGACAGUCUUUCUAAUUUUCUAUCUUUUAUAAUUUCUUUAUAGUGUCUGGCCAACUAUUGGUGACAAAGUGGAGCUUUAACAUCCUUUGUCCUAGUGGGUCCUCUAUGUCCAAACCUGCGUAUUUUCUUAUCUGUUCCUUAAGUCUGUUUAAGAAUUCCAUGGGCCCUUCAUCUUUCUCUUGCUGUACAUUAAAUGCUUGGGAAAUGUUUUGGGUUGGAGGAACUGAUUCCUGAAUCCCUUUAAUUAUCAUAUCCCUAUCUCUCAUGUUUUCCCGGUGAGCCGCACUGUUGUUAUCCCAUUGAGGGUCCUGGGCCGGGAAUUUAUGCUCUGCUGCAAGGACAUUCUGACGAGGGGGGUGCUUGCGCUCCCAGGCUAUCAUAGCAGCCUUGCAGAUCAUGGUUCUUUCCUCUCCUAAGAAGAGAAUACCUAGAAUAGACAUCAAUUCAGCCCAGGUAUACAGUUGUGGCCCCAUAAAUUGGUCAAUUUGAUCUGAGACUCCAAAAGGGUCAUCUAACAGUGGUUUGAGUCUCCUUUUUAGAUUUCUAACUUCUUCACUAGCUAAGGGGGGCAUUUACGAAGCCAAUAUCCCCUCCUCCUAGUGGUACUUCCCUCAAGGGAAAAAAGGUUGGGGCAGACUUCUUUGAAGAGAGGAAAGGAAAGUUUUGAAUAUCCCUUUGGCAUUGUUCUAUUUGCCACUGGAGCUUUCCUAAGGGAGGGGCAUGUUCGAGUGGCUGUCCAACGGGGGUGUGUGGUGUCAAGGCCCAUGGGGCAGGGUUAUAUGGGGGAGGGACGGAGUUUUAGCUUGGGGCAGAGGGGUAGGUGCGGGAAGGGCUGUUGUUCAGUCGGGGCGGAGAGGUAGGCAGGGGAAGGUGGUCUAGAGGAUCCCGUGCAUCUUUGGAUAUAGAAUAUGACUUAGCUAGGUCGUCUUUGGGGGGUUUUGAGUUUGGCUUUGCUUUUUCGUCCUUUAAGGGAUAGAGAAGGACAGGUCCUUGUCUCCAACAUAGAGCAUAAUCUAUCUCCUCUUGAGAAACUGGGCUUUUAUCAUUGACAUACUGGAUCAGGAGUUGGCAUAUCCAGUCCUCGUCCCACCCAAACUUUGGCCAAAAGACCGAAGGUCUGAGGAUGGGUUCCUUAGUCCAAAUAAAACAGCAGUACUUUAUCAUUUGCUGUCUUUUCUUGUGUUUGGUCCUUUCAUUAUCCUUCCAGUAUUUUAACAUUAGGCCUAGGGGACUGUGAGGGAAAUUUUAUUGUCUGCUUGGCCUUUUAGAGUCUCUGUCUUACUUGGGGUUAUUUCCCAUCCUGGAGGUUGGUGAGGCUUAAUAUAUAAUAUUAGAGAUCUCUUGCACUCCCGUGUCUUAGAGGCUCAACCUCCCCUUUUUCCACUGGAGGUUUCUUGCACUCUCGUGAGCACUCACUUCGUCCUUAUUGGCUGCUUCCCUUGCGGGAAUUUUAGGCACCUCUUAGCAUUGGCGGGUAGGUGGAAUCCCCUGAUUGGAAAACCGCCCUAAGCCGUAUGAGGUGACCACGGAACCAAGUCCGGACUCCGCACUCGCCUUGCGCCCAGUGAAUUCUUAAGGAUCCUCCCUACUGUCCGCGUUGCUGAGAGUCCGGAUUUAUUCGUCACUUCGGGCGGGACUCGAUCCUCCGCUCCUGGGGCCACCACGAGGCAAUGGGACGCGUCUCCCCAUGAAAGAUAAUCGCUAGCCCCUCCCGAAGGAGAAUGGGAUCCCGGACGAGUCCCUAAGAUUUACUGGAAACAAGUGCUUGGUGUAGCCAAAAGAAACCCUCACUUAGAAAAUUCCUCAGCAAGGCAUCUUUACUUCUGCAGAAGGGUGCUCCUUGCCUGUUACAAUUGCAAGAGCACACCAAACAAAGGAGAUGUGGGUGUCUUGGUCUUCCCGGGACGGAAGGAGUCAGAGACUCUUGAAAGGAGCCGUCCCGCUGGUCCUUUCAUUUACGCCGAUGCCAGCCCGGCACUCGAGCAUCACCAAGGGCCCGGUGCCCGGCACUGCAGGGCCAAGUCUGAUUUUAUCGUUUGUGGAGCUGCAAGCUUAGGACGCACAGCUGUGAAUUUCGGGUCCUGGUGACUGCGGAACCACCGCGAGGCCAGGAGGCGAGACAGUGCACUUUCCCAGGUUCCCAGGCCUAAGAGCCCACCUGGCUGGAAUGGUCUCAAGGAGCAGAGAGGAAUCCGCACCCUCCGAGUCCUCCGAACCCUCCGAUCCUGCGAACCUGCGGCGGCUCUGCGGUUGGUUCCGUGAGGAACUGGCCGCGAUCGCAAGCUUGGAGCUGCUUUUUGGUUUGUUCUGAGUCCUUCACCUGGUGAGGGGAAGGAAGCCCUGCUUGGGGUCGUUGAAUCUGAGUUUUCUCCAGUCAGAAUCAGUGGUUUGAGAUUGUUUUCCCUGAAACAGCAUGGUUUUCCUGUGCCUACAGUGAGGAAUUCUCCUUUUCUUAAAAAAAAAUAUAUUUUAUUAAUAAAAGGGAAAGUAACGCUUCUAUUACAAAAAAAAAAAAAUUCAGCGGGCAUGGAUCAGGUAUGAUUUAAAUAAACAUAAGAAAAGACCCUCCCACCAAGGAGGCCGGUUAGCUCAGUUGGUUAGAGCGUGGUGCUAAUAACGCCAAGGUCGCGGGUUCGAUCCCCGUACGGGCCACUUCCGUGGGUUUGUUUUUUUUUUUUUUCUUCUUUUUCGUUUUUAUUUUACACCGACCACACCUCGCUUGUAAACUUCGGUUUUACAUCGAACUCCGUAGCCUCGCCUAUCCAUUUAUAAAUGUAGUUGCACUAGCUAGACAG
rnacentral:lncRNA from 1 species